AUACGUAGGGCGCGAGCGUUGUCCGGAUUUACUGGGUGUAAAGGGUGCGUAGGCGGCUCUGCAAGUCAGGUGUGAAAACCAUCGGCUUAACUGAUGGACUGCAUUUGAAACUGUGGGGCUUGAGUGGAGUAGAGGCAGACGGAAUUCCCGGUGUAGCGGUGAAGUGCGUAGAGAUCGGGAAGAACACCAGUGGCGAAGACGGUUUGCUGGGCUCUAACUGACGCUGAGGCACGAAAGCAUGGGUAGCAAACAGGAUUAGAUACCCUGGUAGUCCAUGCCAUAAACGAUGAUUACUAGGUGUGGGGAGUCUGACCCUCUCCGUGCCGGAGUUAACACAAUAAGUAAUCCACCUGGGAAGUACGACCGCAAGGUUGAA
rnacentral:rRNA from 1 species